GCCAGGUAUGGUGACAAGAGCCUGUAGUUCCAGCUACCUAGGAGGCUGAAGUGGGAGAAUCACUUGAGCUCAGUAGUUCUGGGCUGUAGUGCACUAUGCGGAUUGGGUGUCCACACUAAGUUCAGCAUCAAUAUGGUGACCUCCCAGGAGAGGCAGACACCAAAUUGCCUAAGGAGAGGUGAACUGGUCCAGGUCAGAGCAGGUCAGAACUCCCUGCGCUGAUUAGUAGUGGGAUCACACCUUUGAAUGGUCCCUGUAUUCCAGCCUGGGCAACACAGCAAGAUCCCAUCUCU
rnacentral:SRP_RNA from 1 species